rnacentral:rRNA from 1 species
UACGGAGGAUCCAAGCGUUUAUCCGGAAUCAUUGGGUUUAAAGGGUCCGUAGGCGGUUUAAUAAGUCAGUGGUGAAAUCCCAUCGCUCAACGGUGGAACGGCCAUUGAUACUGUUAGACUUGAAUUAUUAGGAAGUAACUAGAAUAUGUAGUGUAGCGGUGAAAUGCUUAGAUAUUACAUGGAAUACCAAUUGCGAAGGCAGGUUACUACUAAUGGAUUGACGCUGAUGGACGAAAGCGUGGGUAGCGAACAGG